GAAAUGCGAUAAGUAAUGUGAAUUGCAGAAUUCAGUGAAUCAUCGAAUCUUUGAACGCACCUUGCGCUCCUUGGUAUUCCGAGGAGCAUGCCUGUUUGAGUGUCAUUUAAUUCUCAAUCCCCUCCAGCUUUUGUGGCUGGUCGUGGCUUGGAUGUGGGGGUCUAUGCAGGUCUCUCUAAAAGAUCGGCUCCCCUGAAAUGCAUUAGCGGAACCGUUUGCGAUCCGUCACCGGUGUGAUAAUUAUCUACGCCAACGACUGUGAACGCUCUCUGAUUUGUUCUGCUUCUAACUGUCUUGCAAAGGACAACUUUAAUGAACUCUUGACCUCAAAUCAGGUAGGACUACCCGCUGAACUUAA
rnacentral:misc_RNA from 1 species